rnacentral:rRNA from 1 species
GACGAACGCUGGCGGCGUGCUUAACACAUGCAAGUCGAACGAUGAAGCUGGAGCUUGCUCCGGUGGAUUAGUGGCGAACGGGUGAGUAACACGUGAGCAAUCUGCCCUUGACUCUGGGAUAACUGCGGGAAACUGUAGCUAAUACCGGAUACGACACCUUGGGGCAUCCCGGGGUGUGGAAAGAAUUUCGGUCAAGGAUGAGCUCGCGGCCUAUCAGCUAGUUGGUGAGGUAAAGGCUCACCAAGGCGACGACGGGUAGCCGGCCUGAGAGGGUGACCGGCCACACUGGAACUGAGACACGGUCCAGACUCCUACGGGAGGCUG